UGAAGUAUAGCAUAAUUAAUGUAUUCCGCUUACAUCGGAGAGAUGGUCAAGUUAAAUUGGCUUAUUUCAA
rnacentral:tRNA from 1 species